UACAAUGGACGGUACAACGAGAAGCGAACCUGCGAAGGCAAGCGGAUCUCUUAAAGCCGUUCUCAGUUCGGACUGUAGGCUGCAACUCGCCUACACGAAGUCGGAAUCGCUAGUAAUCGCGGAUCAGCAUGCCGCGGUGAAUACGUUCCCGGGCCUUGUACACACCGCCCGUCAAGCCAUGGGAGCCGGGGGUGCCUGAAGGCCGUGACCGCGAGGAGCGGCCUAGGGUAAAACUGGUGACUGGGGCUAAGUCGUAACAAGGUACC
rnacentral:rRNA from 1 species